GGCAUAUCCAGGACUACACACGAGACCUUAAUAAUCACAUGUAUGCAGUUUUUGAAACUUCCAUUUGAUUUAAAUAUCAGUAUAAUCAUUAAUAUAUUUGUUGUUAUUGUGUGAUGGAUUGAUGAAAAGAGGAAAAAGUAUCCAUAGUCUAAAUUCAGGAUUAUGUUAAGUAGGAUAAUUUGAUGAAAUUAGUUGAGGCGUAACUGAAGUUAAGCCAUUGGCUGCACACACCGUUUUGCCUCCAAAACCUGGUGACGGCCACAUGACGGACCAUUUUAAUGAGUGAAAACUUUGUUUCAGGUAGUUUACCUCUUUCUUCUUGUUAUUUUUUUCACGCAUGGAUGUCAAAAACGUCCGCAAGUGGUGCAGAGUUUACAGCUGGUCAUACUGAAAUUCCCGACAAACAAAGGAGUGGGAGACCAUCAAUUUUCGACGAGACAGUCAUAAAGGUUGGAGAAAACGUGUGAAGAUUGACGGAUAACUCUGAAUGCUCUCUGCAUUUUAGUGGAGAGCUGGUAUGGGCAUUCUAAAACUGAGUCUACAAAAAUGCAUUGCCAGAAAUGGCGAUUAUAUGGAAAUACUAAUAAUUAUUCAACCUUUAACUUGAUGUAAAUAUUAUUAUAUUUACAUCAUUAUUAUGAUUAUUAAUAUAUUCACAUUAUUAUGUGAAUAUUAUAGAAAAUAAACUGUUUGUAUUUUCAAAAAACUAGGAGACCUCACAUUUGGGAUUGUCCUUGUAUAAAACUGAAUUUAUUCUCUCCUCAACGGAACACGUCUGUGCUGUACUCUGGCUCAUUUAAGUGUUGUCAGUGUAUGCGAGGAUAAACAAUGGUGAAGAGAGCAGUAGAGUCUCAGCAGACUGGCUCCGUCCCCCUCUCAACCUGACUGUUGCUGGGGCAGAUACAAAGUUCCCAGGAUCCACUGAAGUUAUGGCUGACCUGACACUGUAAUAAUAGAACUUUGUAGACUGGUGUCAGCGGCAUCGCCUUCUGAUCAGCGUGGGAUAGACCAAGGUGACCAAGAGACCAAGAUGGUGGUGGACUUCUGCAGAUGUCAGUCUACCCUGCCCCCUUACCACUGAACAUCCAGGCAAUGAACAUCCGGAGGGUGGACUGUUACAAGUACCUGGGUGUGCACCUAAAUAACAAGUUGGACUGGACUAAAAUGUUGGACAGGCUCUACCUCCUAUGAAGACUGAGGUCAUUUGAAAUGUGAAGGGAACACUCCAGAGGACUUCCUAUGACUCUGUGGUGGCAUCAGCCAUCCUUUACGGUGUGGUCUGCUGGAGCAGCAGCAUCAUAAAGACGGAAUGGGAAAAGCUGGUCAAGGUCAUUAAGAAGUCCAGCCCUGUCCUUGGCUGUCCUCUAGACUCAGUGAGGGAGGUAGGAGAUAGAAGGGUUCUGGCAAAACUUACAUCUAUGCUGGACUAUGAGUCUCAAUCACUGCAGGACACAAUGUCUCCCCUGGAGAGCAUAUUCAGUGACAGACUGAUUCACCCAAAAGAUUCCACAGGUCUUUCCCCUUCUGCUGCUGUAAGACUUUACCAUUAACACAUUGCACAUUUCCACAACCCUGCCACACACUCUACAUUACCAUGACAAUUAUACCAGUUACUUUAACAACUGCGGUUCAACAGCUCGUUGUCAUUGUGUACAUAAUGUUAACUAGAGAUAACCUGUGGAGAUUAUUCUGUUUUUAUGUUUUUCUUUUAAGACUUUUGUAUUUAUGUCUUUUUUCUGCUGUUGCAACAUGUCAAUUCCCCAUUGUGGGACAAAAUAAAGCAUUCUA